rnacentral:rRNA from 1 species
GCCAGACUCCUACGGGAGGCAGCAGUAGGGAAUUUUGCGCAAUGGGCGAAAGCCUGACGCAGCAACACCGCGUGAAUGUUAAGCCCUUCGGGGUGUAAAGUUCUGUCAAUAGGGACGAAUUUUGACUGUACCUAUAAAGGAAGCACCGGCUAACUCCGUGCCAGCAGCCGCGGUAAUACGGAGGAUGCGAGCGUUAUCCGGAUUUAUUGGGUUUAAAGGGUGCGCAGGCGGAGGUGCAAGUCAGCGGUCAAAUUGCGGGGCUCAACCCCGUACUGCCGUUGAAACUGCAUCCCUUGAGUGCGCGAGAAGUAUGCGGAAUGCGUGGUGUAGCGGUGAAAUGCAUAGAUAUCACGCAGAACUCCGAUUGCGAAGGCAGCAUACCGGCGCGCAACUGACGCUCAUGCACGAAAGCGUGGGUAUCGAACAGGAUUAGAUACCCCGGUAAC